rnacentral:Y_RNA from 1 species
GGCUGGUCCGAUGGUAGUGAGUUAUCAGAACUUAUUAACAUUUGUGUCACUAAAGUUGGUAUUCAACCCCCCACUGCUAAAUUUGACUGGCUUUUA